rnacentral:rRNA from 1 species
AUGUACCAUGAGCAGAACUUGGGAAGGGUGAAUGACAAACAAGCCCAUGAGAAGGAGGUGGCCAAGCUACAAAAGGAAAUUGAUUUCCUGUCAAACAACUACAGCCAGUUGGUGGAAGAUGUAUCCAAGCUAUUUGACUAUCAAGAUGGCAAGAUGUCUCAUGACAUGGACUAUACCAGUCAGGCAAUCAAUGAACUAAAUGAGAAGAAGAAACAACUUGAGGAUCAGGCAAAGAUUGAGUUAAGUAUGGAAAAGCUGAAGCUUGCCAAGGAGCAAAGGUGCAUUCUUCAAAGCCAAGCAGAUAUCAUUCAGAACAUGAGGAAGGCCAUGAAGGAAGUGGAGGGGGACAAGGACCUACUUAAGCAAGAGAAGAAGAAGCUGGAGUAUCUGAUUGCUGAUCUGCUCAAUGCUGGGCAUGCCAGCAAAGAUAAGCUGGAGAGGAUCAAGGCAAUUAUGAAUGAGUGA